rnacentral:tRNA from 1 species
CCUCCUUAACGAAAGAUUGACGAUUGGUAAGAAUCCACAACAAGUUGUUCUUCAUGACGAUGUAUCUGAGGGUCUGUAGCUCAGUUGGUUAGAGCACACGCUUGAUAAGCGUGGGGUCACAAGUUCAAGUCUUGUCAGACCCACCAAAUCUGACUAACAAGCAUUAUUAAAUGCUGAAUACAGAAAAACAGAGACAUUGACUUAUUGAUAAGCUGGGGACUUAGCUUAGUUGGUAGAGCGCCUGCUUUGCACGCAGGAGGUCAGGAGUUCGACUCUCCUAGUCUCCACCAAAUUUCAAGAAUAGAAAAACAAUGUUUUUCCUUGAAAUUUAAGCAAGAAGCUAUGCUUCGCGCAGAUAGGUUGGAUUACAGAAAUUAGUAAGAAGUAGAUAUUGGUUUACAUUUUAUUAACUUCUGUGAUUUAUCACAGUUUCCUGACCUGACGAAGGCUGGAAAANUCAUUANCAGAAUAUAUU